AAGAUAGCGCAUUUGAACAUAAAGUAUAAAGCUUUCCCACAUGGUAAUUACUGUGCAUUUAAUUGAAUGGCAGUUCUUUGUUUAAGGAAGAAAAGGAUGGAGAAAGAAAGCAAUACACCCCAGUCCUAAACAUUUGCACUGGGGCAAUCAUAAGGUUUGGUGCUAACCUAAUAGAUGUGUGUGUGUGUGUGUGAUGUUGCCUUAUGCCAGUUUUCGGCUUUUGGUAGUGUUAUUCUGUGCUCUAUUCACCUCUGCUCAAUAAAUCUAAGGGCCAAUUUGUAAGAUCAGCUGAGAAUACUUGUCAAAUAAUCAGCAUCAUAAGCUUCUCUUUUGACAUAAGCUGGCUUCUGGAAAAUACUUGCCUAGACAAAAUUUGACCUGAUCCAGCAAAGCAAUUCCUAUGUUUGCUAUCAAUAAAUACUAUGUUGGUCUGGGAAGAGACGGGAUCUCUGUAGCCACUGAUCUACAGUUCUGUUUCACACAAUAGAAGUGUGGCUCAUCUGAGCAUCAAAGCCGUAGGAUUUAGGAGAUGGUGGAAUAGUCAGAGGAAGCACCAUAGCUCAUUGAGGUAGCACCUGAUUUGCAUGAAAAUUUUCAAUUUUCAAAUGUUCAAUUUUCCAGGUACAGCUAGGAAUGUCUCCUGUCUGAAACCCUGGAGAGCUGCUGCCAGCCUGUGUGGACAGUACUGAACUAAGCGGCCCAUGGCCUGACUUCCUGUGUUCUUCCCAGGGCUUAAGCAUAUCCAGUGCCAUGGUUCAAAGAUCCCUCCAGUGUCCCCCCCUUUCCCAGAGUUGUUGACCUUUCCCCAAGCUUCUGCGGGGAUCGCUCUCCUCCCACGGAGGCUUGGGAAGGAAGCUGCACCCCCGCCAGCCAUAUGGUUGACGGGGCAUCUGGUGGGCAUGCAGGGAAAGGGGAGGCCACCGGCAAAGUCAUGCAGCUCCCCCACUUGCUGGGGCGGCCCUGAGAGGCCAGCACCCUGGCGCAACAUGCCAGUAAGCCCAAUAGGAAAGACGGCUCUGGUUCUUCCAUUCCAAGGAACUCAAAAUAGUGGUGGGAAGGGAAGGGAAAGAGUUGAAAACAAAGCAAGUGCAUUGUGGAUGAAGACAGACAUGGCAUUUGAAAAGCAGCGACAGUUGGUUCUUCAUGCACCAUGUGAGCCCGGCUGUGCAAUCUGAGUGACAGGUAUACACACCAGCAAAUUGAACGCUGGUUCAGUUGUCGACCUUGCCUACCUUUGCAUUGCAUCAGAUAGACUACGCAUCUUUCCCUUCUUUCUUUUUCAAGUGGCACAUGGACAUGUAUGUGUUCAUUCGUUCAUUAUAUGUUAAUUGCAAAAUUGCUCCAGAGGCUUGAGGGGCUGGAAGUGUAUUGGGGACACACACACACACACACACACACACACACACAAUCUCUUUGGUGCCUCCCACAGCCUGAUUUUCCCUGGUUCAGAUUUACCAGAACUUAACGGAAGUAGUCUUUCAGUGUGAUGGAGAGAGAAAACUACACUUGGAUGGAAAUGUGAGAAGGGCCACUUCUAAACUACCCUCCUCAUGUUACAGCUGGUCUCAGGUGAAUGUAUAUCCUACUUUCUCAGUCUGAAAGGCUGAGCAGUUCAUGUUCAAUUUAAAGAUAAGAAACCCUAAUAAGGGAAAACAACAGGGGCUUUGAAGAUUCCCCAUCCACAGUUUGCACCUGGUCAGCAGACACAUAUCCCCUCCUCAAGGUCUUCCCACACCUUGCGCUUCUAUUUAAAUUACAGUAAUUGGGUUGUAUCCAAUGCUAGUCCAACUCAGAGUAGACACAUUGAAAUUAAUGUGCAUGACUAAUUUAAGCCCAUUAAUUCAUUGGGUCUACUCUGAGUACAGCUUGGUUGGCUGCAAACCAUUUUUACAUUUGCACAAAAUAUUUAAAAUAUAUGUAGAUUUUGUGCCCUCUUUUGUGGGGGAUGAUGAAUAAGUGGCCACUCUACUUCCUCCUUUUCUUCUGUGGAAAUAGAAUUUACACUAAAUAGAUAAACAUCCCAACCAAGUCAAGGUUAGUGAAUUUGCGCCUAGUUCUUCAGAGACAAACUUUGCCGGGCACCUUUUGAUCUCAUUGCCACCUUGCUUCAUGGCCACGCUCCUAAAGCAAAUUGCUGUGUACUGGGAAUAUGGGCUGAGAAGUUGAGGAUAAGUUUUUAUGAACCUUCUAUGAAUCUGCUGAGCACAGCCCUCCAGGGUGACCAAUUGACUUGGCCCACAGCUUCAGCUGACUUCCUCCAUGUUGGAGGAUUUCAUGCUAUGUGAAAGUACAUUCAAGCAUGAGAUUCUUCCCUUUUGAAAUUAAUAUUUUCAGAGUCAAAGCCGUGGAGUUCUCAUUUUCCCUCCUCAAGUAUUCACUCCAUCCCAUGUCUGUUAAGUGUCCAGAAUUCUGUCUUUGAAAUACAGAGUUCUCACAAGUCCCCUGAGCCCUGUUUUGGAACUGAUUCCAUAUACUGUACCUUGGCAGUGCCGUGGACAGCAGUGAGACUGCACUGAACAGGCUCGCUGAAGAAGCUGACUUGAAUUGACAUGAGCCAAGUCCUGCGGAGUUUAGAGCUUAAACGAGAAUGGAAGGGAGAACCUUUCAUCCCUCUGGAGAGAGUUUGGGCUUAGGUGUCCCUUGCUGAGAAAUUCAUGGACAAAAAGAGGAAGAUGCAAAGCUCUGAGAAUAUAUUGGCGCAGGAAGACUUGUCUGUGCAUGAGCCCAUGGAGCGAAUGGAAGUCACACCAGACCAAAGCUUUGGACAUAAAUGUGAUUUUAUUAAGUUUAUGAGAGGGGAUGGAAGGAAAAGUGGACGGAUGAAGACAACCAUUCCAGACAGAGGGAACAAUGGGGCAGAAGGUUAGGUUUUAAAAGUAAACAAAUUUAAAUACAUGACUCAAUAAUUCCCAAACUCUGAGGAGUAAAUUUAUUAAAUCAUUAAAUGCUUCCAAGAACAUCUGUAGAACCUGCCUGCAGAAGAGUAUACCUGCUGCAACUCUGAAUGAUUUUCUGCUGUGGCUUUUCCUCCUUAUAGCCAACUUCCACCGAGGGUGAGAAAUAAUGGCACAACCGUGGAUGAUUCAGUUAUUCCUAAUAAAAGGGAUGUGCAAAUAAUGAACCCACAACUUCUGUGAAUUCAUGAAGGGGGGAAAAGAUUGUGCUAUCCUAGACCAUGAUCCCUAAAACUAACAUGUUUGUUUGCCAUAUUCCCCCUGCAGCUGUGCAUUUAGGGUUCCUGCUUUUACCCACUC